rnacentral:rRNA from 1 species
UACGUAGGGUGCAAGCGUUGUCCGGAUUUAUUGGGCGUAAAGAGCGUGUAGGCGGCCUGGAAGGUCAGCUGUGAAAACUCGAGGCUCAACCUCGAGACGUCGGUUGAAACCACCUGGCUAGAGUCCGGAAGAGGAGAAUGGAAUUCCCGGUGUAGCGGUGAAAUGCGCAGAUAUCGGGAAGAACACCCGUGGCGAAGGCGGUUCUCUGGGACGGUACUGGACGCUGAGACGCGAAAGCGUGGGGAGCGAACAGG